GAUGAAGAACGUAGCGAAAUGCGAUACUUGGUGUGAAUUGCAGAAUCCCGUGAACCAUCGAGUCUUUGAACGCAAGUUGCGCCCGAAGCCAUUAGGCCGAGGGCACGCCUGCCUGGGCGUCACACGUCGUUGCCCCCCCAUCUACUCCUUCGGGAUUGCGGGGGGCGGAUGAUGGCCUCCCGUGCGCCUCGUCGUGCGGUUGGCAUAAAUGCCAAGUCCUCGGCGACGCACGCCACGACAAUCGGUGGUUGCGAAACCUCGGUUGCCCGUCGUGUGCGGUCGUCGCGCAUCGAGGGCUCGAAAAAAUUGCCGGGCACUGUUUCGGCUUUCAACGCGACCCCAGGUCAGGCGGGGUUACCCGCUGAAUUUAAGCAUAUCAAUAAGCGGAGGA
rnacentral:misc_RNA from 1 species